rnacentral:rRNA from 1 species
GUCCACGCUGUAAACGAUGAGCACUAGGUGUCGCGGGUAUUGACCCCUGCGGUGCCGCAGCUAACGCAUUAAGUGCUCCGCCUGGGGACUACGGCCGCAAGGUUAAAACUCAAAGGAAUUGACGGGGGCCCCGCACAAGCGGUGGAGCAUGUGGUUCAAUUCGACGCAACGCGAAGAACCUUACCUGGGCUAGACAACGGAGGACCGCUCCAGAGAUGGGGUUUUCACUUCGGGGACCUUCGGUUCAGGUGCUGCAUGGCUGUCGU